rnacentral:lncRNA from 1 species
GGCCCUGGUCUGAACGGGGUGGGGUGGGUGCUGGCCCGUUGUGUCCCCCUGGUCCCUGAGGGCUGGUCUGGGUCUGUGCCCACCAGCGCCACAGCCACACCCCUGAACCAGCCUCCGGGGGCUGCUGCAGGCACCCACUGCCCCUGCUGUCACCAGUCCACCACAGUCCCCCUCUGCACACCUGGGGGAGGCUCCCUGGGACCUGGCCUGGCCCUCCUCCCUGAAGGUCCCUCCCAGGCCAGCAGAACUACGGGCACUGGGAGGGCAGGUACUGCUAGCCACCGGGGCCCAUGCCCACCCCAAACGAGGCGGCCAUGCCUUCUCCUAGCGGUCAGCUGUGACCCCACAGUGACCCCUGUCUGCCUUUCAUCCCUGGUGAAAGUGGCCAGAGGCCCUUGGCUCCGUGGGGCUGGUCAUGUCCCUGGCACAGAGCUGCGGAUCGCCAGGGGUGUUGAGCAGUCACUGCUGGUCACCCCAGACCUCCGUUCCUGCACCCAUGUGGCCCUUCUGGGAAAAGCCAUCUGGGGUGCUCCCUGGGAGCUGGGCCUUGUGGGUCAUCCUGAGAGGCCAGCAGCCUCCGGGCGGCACACACGCUGUGGCCAGUGGCCCGCGGUGAGCUGCACGGCUCUGCUCCUGGCUUUCCUCACCGGGCGGCGUUUCUGCUAAGGCCAGGGAACUCCCAAGGACACCGCCCACCCCACACAGACACUUAAGGUCAAGGGAGGGGGCUACGGAGAGGUCCACGGCCCCACUGCGAGCCAGCCUGGCCCAGGGCCCCGGGGGGCCUCCAGGCGCUCCGCCACGUGGUCCCUGCUCCUGUGGCCACACUCCCUGGCAGCAGGGGGAGGGGUCCUUCUUGGUGUCUGCUCUGGACCCGGGGCUAGGCUGGGGGACCUUGGCCUGAGAACCGUGUCCGUGCCUCUUGCUCAGAUCGGGUCACCCUUACGGCCGCCCCAGCUUCAUCUGGCAGCUGUUCCCAGAACCCUCUGUGGUGGCCGGGGGUCCCUGCCUUGGCUGCCGGUCACCUCCAGGCUCCCACCUGCUGGGUCCUUCCCACGGUGGCCGUCCCAACCCUGGGCUUCAGGCUCCCGUGCUGGGCUCCUGCAGCCCUUCCAGGUUGGGGGUCCCAGGCUGGGUUCUGGGGACCUGUCAGUGGCAGCAGACCCCUCAGGGCAGGUGCUGUAGAGGGGGCUCUGGCCUGAGGGGGGGCGCUCCGACAGGGGCAGGGACUUGGGGGUACAUGGAGCCAGGCAUCAGGGUGCCCCCCAGUGCCACUGGGGCCCUGCCUUUGGUGAGGCCCCCACCCUGGCCCUGCAGCACGCCCCCCACUCCCGCAUCUCUCUAGCCAGCCAGGGUUUGCAUCCCGAGUAUGCCCCCCUUUGGAGAGCAGAGCCACAGGGCCACACCCUCCAGGUGACCACCGACCCCAGCCACGCUGAGGAGGCUGCUUGGUCCUAGCACCAAUGGCCAGGACUCUGAGUAGCAGGGCAAGACGCCUGGGGAGGGCUCAGGACCAGAUCUGUGCCAGGGAGGGGGCGAGAUCUUGCCGGGAAGGGGUGGGCUGCAGGUGUGGCCAUUGGCUGCCCAGGAGGGGGUGCCCUGGGGCUGCAGGGCGGCACUGGCCAUGGUUCUCCUGAGCUGGGGCUGAGACCUACAGCCCCAGAGG